rnacentral:rRNA from 1 species
AAUGGAGGCAACUCUGAUCCAGCCAUGCCGCGUGAAGGAAGACGGCCUAUGGGUUGUAAACUUCUUUUAUACAGGAAGAACCUUUCCACGUGUGGAAAGCUGACGGUACUGUAAGAAUAAGGAUCGGCUAACUCCGUGCCAGCAGCCGCGGUAAUACGGAGGAUCCAAGCGUUAUCCGGAAUUAUUGGGUUUAAAGGGUCCGCAGGCUGUUUGUUAAGUCAGAGGUGAAAUCCUACCGCUCAACGGUAGAACUGCCUUUGAUACUGGCAAACUUGAGUUAUUGUGAAGUAGUUAGAAUGUGUAGUGUAGCGGUGAAAUGCAUAGAUAUUACACAGAAUACCGAUUGCGAAAGCAGAUUACUAACAAUAUACUGACGCUGAGGGACGAAAGCGUGGGUAGCGAACAGGAUU